UGAAUCCGCGCGGGAGAGUUCCGGGGACCUUCGGGUACCCGGGCGCCGAAGGAGCAAGUCCCUCCCUUGAAUCUCUCAGGCCCCGUUACCGCGCGGGCGAG
rfam:Actinobacteria bacterium OK006 ctg4, whole genome shotgun sequence.